AUUUAAAUAGUUUAAGUAAAACUUUGAUUUGUGAUAUCAAAAUUAUAAUUGUUAUUUUAAAUA
rnacentral:tRNA from 1 species